CCUGCACACAUAUAUAUGCUUUUGUUAGAAAAACUUGCUUCUCAACCUCGUAAUACCUAGAAACAGUCUCAA